ACCAUAUCUCCACUGGAAGAAGAAGUAGAAGAGUAACGCCAUUCUGGAUAACGGCGGCAUCGUCAACGACGUUGAGUAGAACGACUCGAAAACCAAUGCGUUCAACUCUGCGAAGCUUCACCUUCCUUGCGCGCACCUCAGGCGGACUUGCAAAGACAGCGACGAUACGCAUUGAGUCCCUACCUAUCCAACGUCAUAAUGAACACGGCAGUGGGGUCGCUGUUUGUGUGAGACCAUUCUUCGCAGGGAAGCCGACGAGCACGGAGUUCGCUCAGUUCCUUGCCUACUACGCAGUGCAUGGUGUAAGGCAUUUCACGUUUUACCACGAGUUGACGGCAUCGGCGCACCUGAACUUGCUCAUCACGCAGCUUCCAAAUAAGUACGACGUCACCUUCCUGCCAUGGACACUAGACGUGUGGGACAUGGUCUGGGAAAGGGGGCAACUCGCUUUCAUUCAGGACUGCAUCUACAGACAUAUGGGACGGUUUGAAUAUGUCACCCUGGUGGACAUAGACGAGUUCUUAUUCCCUUUUCCAACGAAAUCUGGUGAACGAGUGACUUUAGCUCAAUUGGCGAAUACUUUGCCUCCUCAAGGAACCUGUUUUCUUUUCCGACACGUGUUCUGGGCGGUUCCUAACGAGACUGUUAGAGGAAGACUUUUUCUUUUCGAGAGCACUAAGGCUGACACGCAUGUAUGGAGACCGAGACUGCGCAGCAAGUAUCUGGUCAGGCCUCUAGGAGUCGUGGAAUGCGGGAUUCACGAGUGCAGACGGUUUGUAAACUUUGAAAGCAGCCAAAUGGUUGUUGGAAACGCACUCUUGUAUCACUACAUCAUGCCUAGUACUACGGUAAAUUAUACGAAGAAUACCAACAUGACGAUCUGGAGGAAGGAUGUGGAGGAGUCCGAUGUAAUGAAAGCAUAUCGUCGUUAUUUUACGACGGAUUUUUAAUGAACUGUCGGCUACGAUAUGCCCCUAUUUACCAGUUACGAAUGUCAUUAUAAUCCUGCAGUACAGUGA